rnacentral:rRNA from 1 species
UACAGAGGUCUCAAGCGUUGUUCGGAUUCAUUGGGCGUAAAGGGUGUGUAGGUGGCGCGCUAAGUCGGGUGUGAAAUUUCGGAGCUUAACUCCGAAACUGCAUUCGAUACUGGCGUGCUUGAGGACUGGAGAGGAGACUGGAAUUCGAUGGUGUAGCAGUGAAAUGCGUAGAGAUCAUGAGGAAGACCAGUGGCGAAGGCGGGUCUCUGGGACAGUUCCUGACACUGAGACACGAAGGCCAGGGGAGCAAACGGG